rnacentral:rRNA from 3 species
UGACCAGCGGAGGGAUCAUUA